ensembl:lncRNA
GCCUGUUUUAGCUAAUAUAUUUGUCAAGGCAACAUCAAUUCAGCAUAUUUUAACUUAGUAACACAAAAUAUUAAUUUCUUUUAUUAGCCAUAUAUAUAUAUAGAUUUAUAGGACACUAAUAUCUGAAGUGAACCAUGCUGUCCUGGUUUGUAAAGGAACAAUCAUCCUCCAAAUCAAAUCAUAAGUCACCCCCUUCGUAAUUGUUAACAUUUUCAUAACUAAUUUAAUUACUCAUUUUUUUCUCAGUAACUGUAAUUGAUUACAAUUACGUUUAAUUUGUAAUUAAAUGAUUUAAUGCUACUCUCCAACACUGGCGACAUCAUAGUUACUUUGUCAUGAAAUUAGGCCUAUACAAAAAAAAUUAUACAUAACUAUAGUUAUGUAAUUUACAGCAUUUUUUGUGUAAGCCUAAUUUCAUGACUUACUGACAUGCGGGAGACCAUUUUCAGGAUAUUUGGCAUAUGAUUAAAAGUGAAUAUUAUAAAAUAAAAGCAUUUGCAAAUAGUUCCACUUGAUUACUGAAAUUCUAGUUCUUAACUUCUCUGUAAUAAUGAUUGCUGAAUAAUUAAGAUUAAAGUUUUUAAAGUGUUUUCUUAAAUUGGUCUAUUCAUAAAGUCGUGGCUUUAAAUGUUGCAUGCACUGCAAAAAAUGAUUUUCUUCCUCAGUAUUUUUGUCUUGUUUUCUAGUUCAAAUAUCUAAACAUCUAUAACUCAAAACACUUGAGAAGCAAAAUGAAUGUGUGAAGUCUUAUUUAGUUUAUGCUUAAUGCCUAAAACAAGAACUAUCUGUGAGUGGGGAAUGAAAACCUGAUUUCUCUUUGAAUGAGGGUGAUUUUUUUCUGACCUCGUUGACAGAUAUUUGUUUGAUUUUUGUUUUAAUGGUAAAUGGUUUUGCUGUCUUGUUUCAGUGAAUGUUCUUUUUGAGUUCAGAAUGUUUCAGUAUGAUUUAUAGUACAAUAGUGUCUGAUCUUUAUCUCUAUGCAUUCGAACAGAAUGAUGAGUUUGUGUAAUUAUCUUGUUCUUCUUGUUCUUUCAGGUCGGUUCUGCUCUUGUUCUCUGAAGGUUUACUCCUGGAGCGUGGCGUCAUGUGUGGAGCGUGUUUGAGGCAGAAACACACGUCUGAUCCUCAGAGACUGAAGAUUAAAUGCCUCCAAAACGACUGCAGGCCUUCAGCAGAGACGUCACUCAAGAGCAUUUUCUAG